CGGACUUUCUCUCACCCGCCGGGCGCUGCGUCCUGCAGUCCCAGCCUCCCUUGGGGACAGGGAGCACCUUCCCCAAAGCCAGGAGAAGAGGUCUCCCUGGACAAGGACAUCCUGCUUGCCCUGCCUGGGUGGUGAUCCUAAGAGCACUCCCAUAUACACAUCCAGCACCUUAAAAAUCCAUCAGACUCUGCUUCCUAAGGAUCCCAACCUGAAAAAGUUGGUGCUAGGAGUGGCCCCAGAAAGCAUAUGUUAAGAUCAGCUCUUGGAGUUGUAUUACCCACCAACCCAGCUGGAAAAAGUAUACCAUCACUGGAGCUAGCUGGAGCACAGAUAAUGCUGGCACAAGAAACUGGAUCUCAUUCUGUUAUCCAGGCUGGAGGGCAGUGGCAGCUUCAACCUCCUGGGCUCAAGGAAUCCUCCUGCCUCAGAUUCCUGAGUAGCUGGGAUAAUAGACACAUGCCACUAUGUGUUGCGGGAAGUCAGGGACCCCAAACGAAGGGACUGGCUGAAGCCAUGGCAGAAGAACGUGGAUUGUGAAGAUUUCAUGGACAUUUAUUAGUUCCCCAAAUUAAUACUUUUAUAAUUUCUUUUGCCUGUCUUUACUGCAAUCUCUAAAUUGUGAAGAUUUCAUGGACACUUAUCACUUCCCCAGUCAAUACCCUUGUGAUUUUCUAUGCCUAUCUUUACUUUAAUCUCUUAAUCCUGUCAUCUCAUAAACUGGGGAGGAUGUAUGUCGCCUCAGGACCCUGUGAUGAUUGCAUUAACUGCACAAAUUGUAGAGCAUGUGUGUUUGAACAAUAUGAAAUCUGGGCACCUUGAAAAAAGAACAGGAUAACAGCAAUGUUCAGGGAAUAAGAGAGAGAACCUUAAACUCUGACCACUGGUGAGCCAGGCGGAACAGAGCCAUAUUUCUCUUCUUUCAAAAGCAAAUGGGAGAAAUAUCGCUGAAUUCUUUUUCUCAGCAAGGAACAUCCCGGAGAAAGAGAAUGCGCCCCUGUGGGUGAGCCUCUAAAAUGGCCCCCUUGGGUGUGGCCGUCUUCUAUGGUGGAGACUGUAGGGAUGAAAUAAGGCCCAGUCUCCCAUAGCGCUCCCAGGCUUAUUAGGACGAGGAAAUUCCCGCCUAAUAAAUUUUGAUCAGACCGGUUGCUGUCAAACCCUGUCUC
rnacentral:lncRNA from 10 species